AUGUCUAUCAAGGAGGAGAAUCUUAUAUCAAAAUCUGAAAAAUUAGGAAAAGCAAAGUGGAAUAAUCCAUUUGAUACCAAAACACUACUUAACAUUUGUAAAGAUGAGAUUCGAAAAUGUAGAAAACCAGAAAUUGCUUUUAGGAAUAAAAAAUGGGAAGAGAUGCGUGAAGCUUUCAAUAAAGUAAAGAAACAGAUUUGGGAUGGAAUCCUCAAAAAGGAAAUAUUGAAGCUAACCCUGCAUGGUGGGAUGCUAAAAUAA